GAGUGACGUCACGUGACGUGGGGCGGGGUGAGGGAGCGCCUCGAGGCAAUGCCGGAUAACUCCAUCCGGGAGAUAGCGGAGGAGCCACCAGCCGCAGCCGUGCCGGGUGGGAGGUGCAGCAGAGGCUCCUCCGCCAGAAGCAGUGCAUGCAGGAAAACUCUGCAGCCUUCCCGUGGUCUGAUAAGUUACUCUUUAAAAACUCUGGCAGCCCGGUUCUGUUUGCCAAGCUUGGGGGUCAGAAAAGGCGAUGGAAAAAUGCAGCAUGUGCAGGAAGACCGUAGCUAUAAAGCAGUUAUUGAUCAGAGGGGAAAUGUGGGCUACACUGUAAGCCCAGUUGCUUAACACUGUUGAAUCUCACUGAGAAAAACUGGUAUUUUCCGACUCCUCUGGACUGGGGAGGGGUAGUGGAAGAGGAUGAAAUUUAAGGAACUUAACAUGAUGAAAAAUCACAGUAAUACAAGGCUGGAAAUUUUUUCUGAAGCUAGAGGCAAUGUUUGGGGCUGGAAGUACAGUUUGAAGAUGGCCUUUUCUUGUCAUCAUAGGAAAACGAAGUUACUUAUUGUCCUUGUUGUUGCUUGUCAGGUAGGUUGGAAUGAAUACUGGACAUAAGAUCUGUUACGGAGCUCAAGGCCGAUCCAUCUGAAACACUUGCAGCUCAUCAAACCUGAAAUAUUGAUGACCUGAGCACAGCAUUGGUCUAACCAGGAAGGCUGAAGAGCAACCAUGUGUGUGCGUGGUGGGUCACGCUCUGGUCAGUGCCUGCCAGACAGAGACCCGUAGCUGCAUGUGGUAAGGAUGAGAAGAGGCAGGGCAUCUGCUGGGGUGGGACAGUUUGGCUGGGCAGUUUUGUUGUGGAUUUGAGGAGCAGGGCUCAAGCUCUGAGCUUUUUAGACCACAAAUUUUGAAGAGGCUGCCAAAGAGCUUGGGCAGCCCUAAGAAUUGCUGGCAGUGGAAGUUGGUGCUGUAGGAGAAAUGUGCAGCUCCUUUGCCGUGUGCUUUUCGUGCACAGAAGAACACAUGAGAAAAAAAGUACAAAGGGUGGGACUAAUAUUUCCGCAAGGUGGCCAUCAGUUCUGGGAAAUAAAAGUGUGUUUAGUUUUGUUUUUAUCCAUUAAAAUAGCAUUUGAAACAGAAUGGCCAUUUAAAUGACCAAAGCAAGUGUAACUUUAAGGCAAGAGCACUAAUACCAGUGCUUACAUAGUUAUUCUGCCAGCUGGCUUUUCACUGUUGUCUUAGUAUGGUCUGGUCCUUCAGCGUAACCUUGUUUGUUUUAUAGUUUGAAUACAGAACUCUGGUUUUACAGCUGGUUUCCUACAGAGCCGCAGUGCACCGACCAUCCUUUCCUCAUCAGGAUUUCAGAAGGUUUACUGUGGUGGCACUCACGCAUCAGAGUGUAGAUCUACCUUCCUUUUUCUCUAGGGCAGGAGCUGCUGUCGUCUGGUCAGUUGUGGCUUGGAUGUGGAACAGCUCCUUGGCUGCCUGUUUGUUUGCAUGUGCAGGUUUCCAGGCAUCAAACUAGGGAUCUUACUGCUGUUCCUUAGCCCUAAGUCAACCCAGUGAGAGCUCUGCAUGUCAAGGGUGUGAUCAGGUAACAAUGAAUAACACUGUACAAAGUGGUAUUUCACUAGUGGGGAAAUUAUAUCUUGACUACAUUAAUUAUGGAGUGUGAGAAUUGUGGAAAAAUGCCACCAUACAAAAAAAUGCCAUGGUACCAAAAAAUGCACUUGCAGAGCCCUCCAGUGGUGAGGGAGGGACAUUGGUGACAGCUGUCCUUUCAGCACACCCAAAGGGUGACUGUGGUAGUCUGAUCGUGCUGCUUGGACUGCCACUGAGGCCAAAAGUCUUUAAACUGGAAUAAAGCUGACGACGUCCCUCCUAGCUGCGUGCAGGUUCAGAUGGAGUUCCCAUGAAGGAGGCUUCUCAUGUAGGAUGGAUAGGUCUCCCGAGGAUCUUGCUGCGCUUGUCUCCCCUCCAUGGGCACUUGCCAACUGUUAGCUGUCAGUGCAUAUUUCAAUGUCUGAUAUCAGUGCUGGACUGCCAGCGCAAAAGCAUGUGAAAUCCACUGCACUCAGCCUCUCUUGGAUGGACCUACUCCUUGCUGUUUUUUUAGGCUUAGUGCAUGAUUUGCUGGAUGAGCCACGGAAAAUAGAACAGAGUGUGAGAAAUUGCCUACCUUUGCCAAUGAAAGCUGUUCUUCACCGUCUCUGUCCCCAGAGUGCUUAAGAAAGUAAUUCAAUAGCACGAAGUUGAAGAAAUACUGAGCAAGGCACACAAUGAAUGCUUUGCGUGCUAUUGUUUCCUUUCAGUGAUCCAAGCUUGUUUGUUUUAACUGCUGUUACAGAGGUAUGGGGAUUACUGUAGAGAUGUAUUAAUGAAUCAUUCCAGGCAUAUUUGUUUUCAAUGAGAGGAAUAUUUAUGUCUGUUUAAAGUUGGUUUGAAAACAAGUGUUGUCCAGGCUGUAACAAAGCAAAGCCAGGUGUCUAGCUUAGCCAUUCUAAGCUGCAUCAGACUGUAAAAUCCAAAGGUGACAGCUAUUUUUGUGUUGGCAGCACAUGGGAAUCUGACUCAAACACGUAAGUGAAUUUAGCUUGAAUGGCUAAUACUUUCCUGCCCUCCCUCUCUCACCAUGUAUUACUGGUGUAUAACAGAAAAAGCCAAACAGACAUGCUACCUACUCCUCAGCUGUCUGAGUUCUCAGACCAGCGUUUUUCUGUAAGGUAAAACUGGCACAGGAACAGGUUAACAGACUGAACGUUGGUGGUAUAUGCCCACUGUGGCCUUCUUUGGUAACUCCAGAAGGAGACAGACUCCUCAGCUAAAUCCUUCUGUGUGAUGAGUCAGAGCUCGUAAUAAACUUCUGCAGAAAAGAGGGUCCCAAUGCACGAAGUACUGCAUGAGCACACUAGAACCAGACUUUGGCUUUGUGGCUAGACAAAGCGACAGCCAAGCCAGUCUUGUGCUGGCAGCAGUCCUGCUCUGAGAGAGGUUUGUCUGGAGACCUCCAGAGGUCCUCCCAACCAACACUCACAGCAUGCCAGCUCUCAUAGAGCGUUGCAUAAGAAAAGGAAAGAUUCCAAUUUUAUUGUUUGGCUUGAGAAGUGGAUGCAAAGGGAGGUAAACAAUCCUGCUGAAGUGAUGCAGUGGGGCUGGGCUGUUGUAAAGCGGGGUUGAAACCAGACCUCGUCAGUCCCAAACCAGUUCUUUAAGUGAGAGCUAAGCAUGUGGUUUGGAAUCAAUACUACUAAGGAAGAAUUUUACUUCUGUCUCAUGGCAGAAAAUUGUAUAAAAUAAUUUGAAGAUCUCUCUUGGUUCAAAAGCGGUCAUUUUUCUUCAGCAAGUAAGAGUUCAGUCAUGGUUUGUCCGUAAGGUGUGACACUGGCAAACACUGUGUCCUGUGUAGACUGUGGUGUUUGGUGGUGUUACCCAGGCCUUGAGCCUCCAUGCACUCCCUUACUGCGUCUUCACUCCGCCAUCCCUCCUGCUCUCCGGCUUCCCUGAGAGAGCAGCUUGAGCACAGAGCCAGGAGUAAGACAUGACUUGCUCUGGCUCUGGUCACCAGUCUGUAGUGGCUGGGGAGCAGGAUCCAGGAGUCUGCUUUGGUGCAGAGCCACCACCCACACUUUAGAGGUAGCUGUAAGUACACAGUCUCAUUUUCCCUGCAGUCAGUUGCCUGGCUUUGUGCGUGACUAGCCACUGUAGUGCAAGCUGCAAGACUUGGUUUCCUAUGUUUCCAGGUUGUGCUACAGCAUGAAGAGGCCUCAUAAACUUAUUGUGACUGUGAUGUCCUUCCCUUUCUCUACUAAUUAGGAUCUAGUGAUCUGCAAAAUAGUUUUGGUUUUCUCAGCUCUCUGACCACAAGGCUGGAAUUGAGUCCUUCUGUCAAAGCAUAUUUACUGUAGUCUCAGAAUAAGAUGCACCCCUCUAAGGCCAGCACCUUGAGAGAGAUCAUAGGAAAAGAUCUCUGUCAUUUCUGUUUCGCAGUUCUUGAGAAUAUUUUAAUGAGUCCUGAGAAAACCCCGAGACCUGUAUCUUGUAGAGAGAGAUGUGUCUUGAAAUUGCCAUGCAGUUCCAAACCCUCCUUGAAUCUGUAUAAAAGCAGACCUUGCUUCUUACUGCUAGUAGGGCAGACUACAUGCUGGGCUCUGUUAGGAGCACUGGGGCUGGCAGAUCAAGGGAAGUUGUUAUCCUGCUGGGCACCAGAGAGGGCCCCAGCUGGAAUAUUGUGUCCAGUCGGGAACCCCCAGUUUAAGAGGGAUGUUGAGAAAUUGGACAGGGGCCAGCAAACAGCUCCAAGACGGGAAAGAGCCUGGGGGGCACAACCUGUGAGGACAGCUGGAGGGAGCUGGUUGGUCUGGUAAAUGGGAGGCAAAGGGGGGGGGGGAUUUAAUGUCACUGGAGAACUACUGGAGGGGCAUUUGCAAAUGGCUAAAUGUUUCUGGGUAGUGCCUGCUGGUAUAACGUGGGACAACAGCCGCAGAUGGCAGCCCUGGGAGGUUCAUAUUGCAAUAGGAACAGCUCCUUCCCCAGCAGCCCUGGUUCAAGGUGCUGGGGAGAUGGGGGCUGUCUGUGUCCUGAGGGGGUUUGUAGACGUGGCCAUACAAAGCCAGGGCUGCCCCGAGCAGGGGACCUCCUGAGGGCCUGCCGCCAGCGCUGUUGGGGUUCUCAGAAGCAUGAAUUAUAUUCUGACUUUAUUUGAACCUAGAUGACACUGUGGGCUGGAUUUGUAAUUUAGGCCCAAGCCGAUGAAAUAUGACUUGGACUAAUUAGGCUUUAGGGCUCAGGAAUCCAUUCCAGUUGCUUGGCCUCUGUUUUGACCCGUCUUUUCUUUGAAGUUCAUAGAGAAGAGGGGAAAGGAAAUGAGAGCAGAGGCCCUGCUUUUCCUGUAAAAUGCCUCAUUCCUUAUAAAAUUGUUUGGCAGGAAUCUCUUUCAGCUGGACAAGCUGAAUGCUUUAAAACUUGCCUGCAGUCAUUCUCCUCUCUUGUCUAGUUCCUGUGCCUGCUCAGUCACUCUUCUGUAUUGAUAAAAUCAUGAAUGUACAGACAGAAAUACCCCUUGGAGAGCUAGCACAGAAAUUUCCCCAAAGUGUGUUAGGGGCUUGUGAGUUGCAGCAGCCUUAUUAAUUCCUGAGCUGGCUGGGGGUGAGCUGAUGUCAAGGCCUCGCUUCACAGCACUGUGCAGUACAAGGUGGCCAGUGCCUGCUCAGCUCUGGCAUUUCCGGCCCUUCUUCCAGACAAACAUGCUGGGACAUGCAGGUUACAAUCCUUGCCAGGCCGUGGAGAAACCACACCUACCUUCCUCCCACCCUUGUUAUGUUGUGUGAAGAGGAAAACAGCUCAGGACUGCUGACGGAGGCAUGUGUUUGCUCUCUCCCAGGCACUAAGGAUAAGUCUGGUGAGAGGGGCUGAAAGCCCCAAAGCAGCGAAAGCCACUUGUUCUUUCCUUGUGCAUCUCUGAGAAGAAUCAUGCUCUGUUUUCUCUGUGUCCUCCGCUUAGUCAAUGGAUAACUGCUGUGAAGCCUGUCCCCUGUGCCAUCUCUUCUCCAGGCUGAACAAAGAGAUCCCUCAGCCUCUCCUCCUAUACCCUGUGCUCUAGCCCCUUCACCAUCUUAGUAGCCUCUGCUGGGCUCUCUCCACUUUGUCAGUGUCUUCCUUGUACUGUGUUGCCCGAAACAGGACACAGUAUGCAGAGGUGGCUUCAGCCGUGCUAAGUAGUGGGGAAUGAUCCAUUCCCUUAGUCUGCCGACUGUUCUUCUGUUGCAGCCCAGGAUGCUUGUUGUCUGUCUUUGCUGCCAGGGUCACACUGAAUGUGCUGUUCCCCAGCACGCGGGGGGCUUUUCUGCAGAGCUGCUGCCCUGCUAGUGGGUCUCCAGCCUGUACUGGUGCAUGGAGUCAUUCUGUCCUAGGUGCAUGACUUUGCCUUUGUCUGCACUAAAUUUCAUCAGGUUCCCUCUGGCCCGUUUCUCCAGCCUCUUGAGGUCUCAGAUCUGCUACUGUUUGUUGUACUCAAUGACAGCUCUUACUGCAGGGCAAAGCAGCUUUCUUCAAGAGACAGCUGUGCUGAGCUUGUGUUGUGGAAGGGCCCAAAACAAAAGGAAUCACCAAGAAACUCUUUACUUCAGACUCCUCCAUUUUAUGUUUUGGGGAAGUCCUGUGGUUCAGGGUGGCCUGAUAUAUGCUCUGCUGUGCUACAGUGACCCUUGGAGCAGCCUGAGGUUGGUACAUACAUACUAGAUUAGGCUGUUGAUUUCAUGGCAGCUACUUAAGUCAGGCUCUGCACCCCUUUUAUAAUGAUGAUAAUGAGUUAGUGGAAGUACCUCCUGUGCCUGGAAAGAAAUUGAGAGCACGGUGAGAUAGGGCAGAAAAGAGAAGGAAGGAGCAAAAGGGCACCUGGUGAUCUUGAUCUUGAGAAGCCAGGUCUCCAGUGGAGAAAAGACCUUCCCUCAUGCCUCCCUGCAGGUUGCUUUCCAUACUGACUGCCUUUGGGAGGCAUCAUACUGUGUCUUUCUGACGUGCACAUGAUGAAGUUGUUGCAUGCAGAGGGUCAGAUGGUGGCAGGGGCUGGACAAGAUGGCCUGAGAUCUGCCCAGUAUUUCCUCAUAAGUCAGCCACGCAUCCAAUAAGAGCAGUGGGAAUUGCUGGUUCCCUGGAAAGUGGGUGUGCUGCAAAAGCCACCUCAUACUAACUGUGGUUAGAGCUGCAGCCACUCUUACUUCCCCUUUUGAGAGGUGAAAGGACAGCACGAGUGUGGUCAGAGAUUUCCCACACCUAGAUUUGGUCAGGGGCCACCUGCAAUCCUUGAACCAGGAGUUUCACAUCCUCUUUCAGACCAAACCUACCUGUUGCUAUGAGGACGAGGCCUGAAUCUUGCCAUGGCAAGGCCUGAGCUCUGGUUCUGGUGCAUGUCUUGUGCUGAGGAGUCUUUGGCUUGUCUGGUGUUUCUCACAUGUGCCCACACCUCAGGAGGGGCUGGUUUGUCUGCCUCUUAUCUACAGUGGUGCUUUUCCCUGACUUUUUUUUGGUGGGAUCUGAAAAAGAAGCAAUAAUUUACAGAAAUAAAGAUCUUUCCCUUCUCUUGCCGCUCAUCUCUGAGCAGAGCUCUUUUGAAGGACUGCAGGCUGGGCAGUGACAUUGCAUGUCAGCACCUGCUUGUGUUUGUGGUAUACACACAUUUACCCCCAAGGACCCAGACUUGCCCUGAAGUCUCCACCAGAAGCAAUUGUUCUUGGUGAGGAAUGGAAUAAAAUAUCUCUAUGCAAGACCUACUGAUGGGCAGGGAGGCUCUGGGAGCCUGAAAGAGUUUAUCAGAGUAUAAGGAGCCCAUCCUCAGACUUGCGUCUUGCUGACUGCCCACAGAGUUCAUCUCGGCCCUCUGGCUCUUGGCUUGGGCAUUUCAGAUGGCAAGUGAUUUGCCAAGGCCAUGACAAAUGUGACAAAUGUAGCACUGGUUAGGGAAGGAAGUUGCUGGAAGAAGGAGGCCAGGGGAGGUUAGGUUAGUACCUGAUUCUGAGGGAAGUUUUCUGCCACUUGCAGCCAGGAACAGUACCUGAGGAGUGUUAGAUCCAGCACAACUUGCAGAUGGCCAGGUAACUACCACAUCAAGCUGAAGCUCCUAUGGAAGACAGCUUUAAGUGUUAGCCUUGUAAUGCUUCUGCAUGAAAUUUGUGGAGUGCCUGGGGAAACUGUAUGCACAAUUGCUUACCACUGCAGGGAUACUGACGUGCAUUACAGCAAUAAGGUUCCAGAUGUACCUGCUCAGUUGUCACAGAGGUACCUGCUAUGCUCCUUAACUGCAUAGUUUCUGAAGUCCUAAAUAAUCUGUGGCCUGUGGACAGCCAGACAUUUAUUUGGGCAUGUAUGAAGCAGAGGAGACCAUCUGAAACAGAACAUGACAUGAUGUUAUUAGGCUGUGUCAUCUUAUUAUGCAGGUGCUUGGAGAAGGAAACCACAUUAUAACUUUAGCUCUGAAGCUGAACCUUGCAACCAGUUAGCAUGACUUUAAUAUGUGACUUAGGUCAGCAUUGCCUCCAGGUUGGAAAGGGAAUUAGAAAUUGGGGUAAAGGGCUUUUGUUCACAGGCAAGAAUUCUUUGGAAACAUAUGCCUUUCAUUCUGAAGACUUCAGGCAGGACAAAAUUAUGAGAAAGUAAUUUCUAUGUAACUGGAGACUAAUCAUGAAUAAUGACACUCUCUGGUGACGUUAAAUAGAAUUAAUUAUAUUUAACUUGCAGGCUGUGUGGUAUUUCCAGGUUGUAAUCUUGGGCUGGGCUCUUGGACGCUUUUACACAUGAGGCAAGAUUUGAUAACCUGAAAGGUAGCCAAAAAGCAGUGAGUAAGUGUCAGAAAAUGGUGUUAGCAACUUGACAGGUGGCAGCCUUUCUUUAGAAUUAGCGCCAUUAGUCUCUGCCCAGGGAUCUUUAGCACUAAAACAGCUUUCGUCUGUUUUCUGCUGUUCUGGCAAACAGUUUCCCGGAUGUGAUCUUGCUGUUCUGUCAUGAGUGUGAAAUGCCCUUGUGUGUAACUAAGGCUUGACUCUGUAACAAGGAACUGUUUGACAGUGCAGUGAAGGUAAUCCGUGCUUGGUUUAUAGACACACAGAGCUGGGUUUUGAUAUUAUGUGCUGGAAACUCUGCUUUCCUGUGCAGCAUGUUGAGAAAACAUCCACGUGGCUGGGAUUUCAGGCACCAGCAGUAUUAGCAAGAGUCCUGUCUUCAGGCAGUUUCUCCCUGAUAUAUCAAAUAAAAGCUAUUUCCGUGCCUUAGGAGAUGUCUGACCUACUUUCCAUUCAUCUGGCUUGUUUUCCCUCUCAAGAUGUCUCUCGGAGGGUGCAGUGGGGAGGACUUGCUGCUGUCCUUUUGGAUGAGCAGCAUCCCACUGGAGAAGGGAGAGAGAGGAACAGGACAAAAGACACUUUCUCCCACAUUACGUAUGUGUGGGCAUGAGCAGCUCUUCUCACCCACCUGUGUAGGAGCCUUUGCAGGAGGAACUUAGAAGGCUUUUCACUACCUCCUUUCACCUAGUCUGCAGGUAACGCUGGGCUAACAGGAGGGACUGAGACCAGGGCGAAGACAACACCUCAUGGCACUUGUGCACUACAGCCUCCACUGUCCAGUGUCCAAGACUGCUGCCAAGGGUAGAGGGAGGCAGUGUGGGGCUGCCUGUCCUCUCAAUGCUCUGUACGUAGCCUGGCCAUAACCAGCCUCAGAGUUGACAAGGCAUGCUUUGGAGACAAGAAGAAUUCAUCACUUAAAAAAGAUAUUAAGAUCUGCAAGAUCAGCAUGCAGCAGUGUGGCUGGAUGAACUCCACAAGUGUCCUGUCUCUUGUCUAGGAGCACACACUGAAGUGAAGUUGAGUCAUGGAGAGGUCUACCAGGACACCUCCCCUUACCAUUUUAAUAGCAAAGUCCCCAAGCCAGGGAUGAAGCCAAGCUCCCCCAGACUCCUGUAAAAGUGAGAGAAGCUGGCAACUUGAUAUUUGGCAAAAAGCAAAGCUGUCUCUGAGCUAUCUUGUCUCUCUGUAGAAGACUCCCUAAUACAAGCUGGGAACAUCACAGCUGCCUGGACCUUUCACCCAUACCCUGAAACAGAGAGAGAGUUUGCAGAAAGUUCCACCUGAGCAGGGUUUUGUUGUGACAUGAGAAGCUCUAGGCAUUGCUUAGUGACUUAAUUUGAAGGUUAUAUGUCAGACUGUGUUUUGGUCUUCACUGUAUAACUAACAAAGCAGAUUCAGCUGUUGCUGUUUAUGACCAGCUUACCUUGCUCUUCUGGUCACAGGACCCCAGUAGUGCUAGUGGUGAGACCCUCUGGGGGUCUCCAGUCCAGCCCCUUGCUUGGACCAGCACAGGGCUCAGUGUGCUGAAGCAGCUCAGCUCAGAGGUGACAAGGUCUGGAAAUGGCUUCAGGGUAGAAAGGAAGCAGAAAUAUUGCAGUCAGUUUGAAUCCCAUUAGGCUGCAGUGGAAACACAGCCUAGCAGUCAGCUUGAAUCCCAUUAGGCUGCAGUGGAAGCACAGCCUAACAGCCUCUCAGGCUUCAAGUUGCUGAGUGAUGGACUUCCCUCAAAAUUAGACUAUUCUAUACUUUUAAGAAGGCAUUCUGCCACCUCUCAUUUAAAGACAAGUGAUAAACAUUUCUGUGCUUACAGGAUGCACUGUGCACAGACAGAGACAAGCUCCAAAGACCCUCCCAUGCCCCAGGAAAUAGUCAGGAUACUUAGCAGACACCAGGAGAAUAGCUAGCCCCUACCAGACAGGGGCACAUCCGCCUGUCUUGUGAAAGGCCUGACUCAGCAGAUCAUUUUUCUGCUUUCUCCAUUCCUCAGCCAAACAUCUCAGGAGACAUGUCAGGCAUAGCACACUCUCCAGGACUGUCCCCAGUGCUAGGUGAGGGCAGCUCUGGCUUUGUGUGAGCUUUGAAACCCCCUCAGUGAUGGUGACACCCCCCCCCAGCCCUAGUGCCCUGUCCAUCCUGUUGCCCUGCACCAUCCUCCUGGGGAAGAAGGUUUCCCUAAGGUACAAGACCAGCGUCUCAGGGCUGCCAUUUCUGGCUGUUGCCCUUUCUUGUAACAGCUGACACUACUAGGAAACAUUUAGCCAUUUGCAACUGCCCUUCCAGUAGUUUUAGGUUGAUAUUAAGUCCCCCUCUCACCUGGCCUUUGCCACCUUCUCCAGCUCUCCUCACAGGCCUCGUACCCCAGGGCCUGGCCAGUCUUGGCAGAUGUUCUGCUGUCCCCUCCUCAGUUUCCCCACGUGCCUUUUAAAUUGGGGGGACCCAGACCAGAAACAGUACUCCUGGUGCUUUGUGGCCCUCACCUCCAGUACAGUAUGACCCUUGGCCGAUCUAGAUGUCAGCAGUCAGAGUUGAACCAGGGUCCCUGGGGCUCUCUGAAAAUGCCUCCAUGCUAAGGGCGUCUGCAGCCAAGUUGUAACGGUUCGGAUGGCAGAUUUCUCUGCUCACAAUGGUGGCAAUAAUACAGGUUUAACAGUCCUGUUCUUCCACAACACGUAUUAAGUGAGAUUCCCUAUGAGGAAGGGCAGUCAGUCUACUGGCUGUGUGGUUGCCAGAGUCGCACAAUUACAAAUCUACCCACAGUAUCUGUCUGCACUGAGGCUAUUUGGAGAAGCACACCAUGCAAAGACUGCUGGAUGUGUGUCUGAUGUUUGCACUACAGAGAAAAGAGACCUAUUGCAGACCUUGGAGAUUUUCACAGUUGACUGCAUAAGGCCCCAAGCAAUCUGAUCUAGCUUUAAAUUUAUCCUUGCUUUGAGCAGAGGUUUGAACCAGACAUCUCGAGAGGUACCUUCCAACCUAAAUUUUUCUGUGAUUCUUGUAGGUUUGCUCUGCUUUUGUUCUUGUUUCUCUAAAGCAACAGAGAUUUGCCAUAACUCAAGUGCUGUUGCAAUGAUACACCUGUGACCCAGGAUCAUGCAGCUGGGAAGGCAGCCAAGGUGUGAGGAAAUGCAGGGAGAAACCUCCACAGUUGUCCCCUCUUCACAUGGGGACUGCAUUUCAGCUUGAGCCCAGGGCCCUGCUCCUCAUCUGAGCUAUGCCAUAGGUGUGCCUGUGCCAACAACACAACUCACUGAUCCAGGCCCUCAGCCUGAUCCAGUGACUGGACUUCUUGGCUUGCCCUGGGACUUGCCUCGUCACUCUGGAGCUGUUGCGUGAUCACCGGGCUGCGGCUGACCCUAGCUACUGUCACCACCCUUGCCCUGGCGGACUGUGUCCUGGCAGUGGGGGCAGUGCCUGGCCUGCACUGUGGCCGCCCUCGACUCCCAGAUUGCCUUCCCUUGUAGGGCAGCCCGGCUCUGCAGCUGCGGUGUGCUGCACCUCCUGCAAUCACCUCGGCACCUUGCCUGAAAAAAUUUCCUGCGACCGGUAGGAUCGGUGCACAGACUCUUUCAUUUUUUUCUCAUUAUCCUAAAGCUCUUUGGAUACAGGGUGCCAGGGAUUUUGCAGUUUGUGAUGUGAUGAUCCGUUUGGUACCUUGGACAUAAAGUCCCUGUCUCAGCUGCCUUGAAGAGGGCUGUUACUCAAGUGGUCUCUCCUGGAUGCUCAAGAGGAGCAGCCUUAGCUGGUGGCCAUGUACUGCAGUUGUUUUCCAUGGGCCAGCAGGCUGCAAGAAAAUGCCCUUCAGCAGGCUGAUCUGUGCUGCUAGCGUGCCAAGGAUUGUCUGUGCACGUGUUUAGUGUCCAUCUGUAGUGGUCCUCUGUAGUGACUUUAAUUGCUAACCCUGGGAAAGUUUUCUUCUGGUUUAUACUGAAAGGGCAACAUUUUGUCUGUGCCUCUGAGCAGAGGUCUGUGUGUCCUAGAGAUCUUUUGCCUGUAGUUCAGCUGCUUGCCAAGUCUAGCAUGCCACUAGGUUAGAAGCCAUGUCUGGCCCUCAGCCACUGUAGCCUGAGGCCUCCUGGACUUGUUGGCCAAGUCAAGUGUCACGGCAGCACCCCUGCCACAGGCGCACAGAGCCUGCAGCUGAUCGAGACACCCCGGUGCCCUUGGUGAGGACUCUGUCCCCACUGGGAUAUUGGGCCUAGCAGAUAGUGUCCACCAUCUUCAGCAAUAUCAGGGCCACAGACUUGGCAGAGCAUGGGAAGAUGGACCAAGAGAUUCACUGUCGACUUAAUGAGAACUGCUCUGUACCUCUGCCAUGACAUGCGUGCCAAAACAGGGCAUCUUCCCCUUCCCAGCCCCGCAAAACAGAGCACCUUCCCCUUCCCAGCCCCGCCUGUCUGCGGGGAAAGUGGAAAGUCAGACUUGGAAGGCUCUCCAUGCCGUAGCUCCCCUCUCAGGUUGCGCAGACACAUGGCAUCCCCAGCUCUGAAAUCCCCCCGCCCUGUGAAUCAAGGAAGGCCACUCCUUGACCGAGAUGCAUGGCCACUUUCCGAAGGCAGUACUGUGCUCUUGUUCAUGUAGCUGAACCAAGGAAAAUCAUACAACAAAUGCCUGUGCUUGCUUUGCUGCUCUGUAACAGAAGUUUGGGGAACUUCCUCCAAGGUAUAUUAAAGUUUCGUGCAUCAGUUUGCUGUGCUUUUGCUCACUGGCCAUACACUGCUGGUGGCAGAAGAGUUCCUCCAGAUACUGUUCUGUAAGUGCCUUGGUUACCGGGCUCAUGCGUUCGCUGUCAUUGUCAAACCAGUACUGGCGUUGAAAAGUUUAACAUCCUGUGGUCUACCCCGGUCAAUUUCCAAUUUCUUUCCUGGCUCUGGAAGUGUUGUCUCUGACAUGUGGGGCAAACCAUGGAGCAGGGACAGUGCAGCAGAGCCUGGGUCUGUCCGUACCCUCCCAUAUGGCUCAGGAGAGAGGGCCAACAGGGCAGGAGCCUUUACAAGUCCAAAGAAAAAGACCAGGAUAAAGAAGAAAUGCCAGUCUGGAGAAACCUUGCAGACACCUUUAUGGGGUGAAAGACCAAGACUAGGGUUUAUCUAGUGCUGAUACUGCUCAGUUAUAGGCUGGCUUUUGACACACAAGAGCAAAUGUUGGCAAAAUGAUUAUGGUAACCAUUUCACGAAUAAUUAAAUUUGUUGAUUUGCAAUUGCUUGCAUAAAAUACCAACAGCAUCACAUCUCAGAACAAACCCUGCUACCCAGAGUUUUACUGGUCAGGGAAAUGAUGAUAAGCAUCAGAAGUCAGAUAUCAGGACUACAGGUAAGACACUGAAGAAAGUUCUGACUGCCGUUGUUUUUCUCUCUUUUAGGUUGGGUCUGAAUAUUUCUAUUUUUCUUGCUUCUUUUGCCAGGGAACAUCAAAAAACAGAAGUGCAGCAACACAGGGCCACUGCUCUCAGCACGCUCGAAAGGCAAAGGCUGGAGCAACUCUUGAGAUGCAGCCUGUUCUCUUCUUAGUCAAAUUGGAGUUGUUUGGCAAGUGCAUUCACAUUACCAUAGAUGGAAUACUUUGGAGAAGAUACAAGAGAAGGAUUUCAGCUUAAUCAGGUCCAGGCACAAGUUUUGGACCCAUAGCUAAAACAGCAGAGCAUCAGCAACAUCUGUCUCCUCUCUGCACUGAGAUCCAAGAGGACUGAAGAGCUCUCCAGGCAUUUUUAUGACAAGAAGAUUUGCAUAUUCGAGAACCACCUUGCCUUUUCUCCUCUUUAUUUUUCCUCCUCUUUUCCCAAACACAGAUCAGUAACCUUUAUUAACACUGGGUCUGAAAAGCAUGUCCAUGUUUAAAUAUGAACACAGAUGGGCGUUUGUUCCUGUGGGGUUUUCAUUCAACAAGGAAUGUGUAAUCAAUGUGUGUAAUGAAUUAUAUCCAU